rnacentral:rRNA from 1 species
AACGAACGCUGGCGGCAGGCUUAACACAUGCAAGUCGAGCGCGUAGCAAUACGAGCGGCAGACGGGUGAGUAACGCGUGGGAAUCUACCCAUCUCUACGGAACAACUCCGGGAAACUGGAGCUAAUACCGUAUACGUCCGAGAGGAGAAAGAUUUAUCGGAGAUGGAUGAGCCCGCGUUGGAUUAGCUAGUUGGUGGGGUAAUGGCCUACCAAGGCGACGAUCCAUAGCUGGUCUGAGAGGAUGAUCAGCCACACUGGGACUGAGACACGGCCCAGACUCCUACGGGAGGCAGCAGUGGGGAAUAUUGGACAAUGGGCGCAAGCCUGAUCCAGCCAUGCCGCGUGAGUGAUGAAGGCCUUAGGGUUGUAAAGCUCUUUCAACGGUGAAGAUAAUGACGGUAACCGUAGAAGAAGCCCCGGCUAACUUCGUGCCAGCAGCCGCGGUAACAC